rfam:Anolis carolinensis unplaced genomic scaffold chrTn0723, whole genome shotgun sequence.
ACUAAAGGCCCAAAUACCCUAAAGGCACCAAAUUUCAACUGAUAUUGGAUGCUAAGUAGGGCCAGCCAUGGUUGAUUCUUGGAUGGGAGACCGCCAAUGAAUACCCUGAGCUCUAUUUC